AGCAGCCGCGGUAAUUCCAGCUCCAAUAGCGUAUAUUAAAGUUGUUGCAGUUAAAAAGCUCGUAGUUGAAUUUCGGGAUCAAUUUGCUGGUCGUGCCUCUGGUACGUACUGGUAUUAUUGGUUUCUCCCUUCUGACGAACCAUGAUGUCAUUAAUUUGAUGUCGUGGAGAAUCAGGACUGUUACUUUGAAAAAAUUAGAGUGUUUAAAGCAGGCAUUAGCUUGAAUACAUUAGCAUGGAAUAAUGAAAUAGGACGUUUGAUCCUAUUUUGUUGGUUUCUAGGAUUGACGUAAUGAUUAAUAGGGAUAGUUGGGGGCAUUAGUAUUCAAUUGUCAGAGGUGAAAUUCUUGGAUUUAUUGAAGACUAACUACUGCGAAAGCAUUUGCCAAGGAUGUUUUCAUUAAUCAAGAACGAAAGUUAGGGGAUCGAAGACGAUCAGAUACCGUCGUAGUCUUAACCAUAAACUAUGCCGACUAGGGAUCGGAUGAUGUUAAUUUUUAAUGACUCAUUCGGACG
rnacentral:rRNA from 1 species